rnacentral:rRNA from 1 species
UGGGGAAUAUUGGACAAUGGGGGCAACCCUGAUCCAGCCACGCCGCGUGAGUGAUGAAGGCCUUCGGGUUGUAAAGCUCUUUUGGCGGGGACGAUGAUGACGGUACCCGCAGAAUAAGCCCCGGCUAACUUCGUGCCAGCAGCCGCGGUAAGACGAAGGGGGCUAGCGUUGUUCGGAAUUACUGGGCGUAAAGCGAGUGUAGGCGGUUGCCGUAGUCAGGUGUGAAAGCCUUGAGCUCAACUCAAGAAAUGCACUUGAUACUGGGUGACUAGAGGACCGGAGAGGAUAGUGGAAUUCCCAGCGUAGUGGUGAAAUACGUAGAGAUUGGGAAGAACACCAGUGGCGAAGGCGGCUAUCUGGACGGUUACUGACGCUAAGACUCGAAAGCGUGGGGAGCAAACAGGAUUAGAUACCCUGGUAGUCCACGCCGUAAACGAUGGGUGCUAGACGUUGGCGAGCUUGCUCGUCAGUGUCGCAGCUAACGCGUUAAGCACCCCGCCUGGGGAGUACGGCCGC